AAUCUGUAGUAAAUCAUAGUGGUUACCUUCCUGUUUUUCACCUCUCUUCCUGCCCUCAUUUUCCUUCAACACCUUCAUCGCAUCUUGGAAAUAAUUCCUGCAAAGUUUUCUAUGCUCACUCCUGGAUGUUGGCUCCCAGAAUGAUUCCUGUAGACCACAGACAAUACAAGCCGCUUGCCAUCAGGAUGGUUGCAAAUCAUGCUGUCAGAUUGAUACGUCUCUGCUUGUCCUCUUGACUGCUUCAGGAUCAGAUGUGAUAAAAAGCAAAAUUAAAAACUUAAGCUGAUGCUCACAAAAAUUAGGUGCCGGUUUCUCUUGUUCCUCGGAUGAAUUAAAUUUCAUUAAGUACUGUCCUAGCCCUUUUUUUGCCUGCCUUGUGCUUUUGUGCUAGCCAUUUUCAAUCAUGACCUGCUACCUUAUUCUUUCCUGUUUGAUUCUCCUAUUCUCAUGCAUCUUUACACCCUUUCUUGCAACACUCUCUUAAUCUCCACAUUAUAGCACUAUUCCUCUUCCCCUACUUAUUUCCUGUAUAAAACAUAUAUGCUAUAUAUAUGCUAGAACACCCUUAGCCUUUAUUCUUUUUGUAUCCGCACCUCUGCAAACUGCUGUAAUGCACGUUCAAAAAUUGCAAAGGAAAGCAUAAUUCCCAGAGAACAGAGGACAGGUAUUUGUGAGAAUCCAGGAAGGACUGGAUAACAGCCUCCCUGCUGUGGGACUGGUUUACCUCUAGAAAGAACUUGCUGGUGAAGAUUCAUUUAUUUUCUUAAAUCACUGUGCAUGUUUGAGGGAAAGCAGAAUCAGUCCUCCUGCCUUUGUAGCCGUAAAGACAGGCAAGAUCGGGUAACACCUCUUAGAGCACAAACACAAUAGCACCUGCCAGAAUUAUACUGCACCACAUCUGUGUUUAACUUGGAAACAGCAUUUAUCUACAGAUAUUUUAGGACAGAUAAGACAUGAAACAGGAAACAGUGAAAUCAGAGAAGAUAACUGGUAAUCUUGUGCUUCCUGCCUAGCAUUACAAUGUUGAAAAUAUUGUGGUUACAGACAGCAAAACAUGAUUUUAACAGCAAGGUAGCAAAUAGCCCCUCUCUGAAAUUCUUCUUAGCUUUCUGAUCUUGACAAACAAAUGGAGGGUAUACUCUAUUUGAUCUUUAAAAUGAAACUGGGAGAAAAAUACAUUUCUCAAACAAUUGGAAAAUUCCUUCAGUUGUGGUGAUAGAUAACCAGUUAUUUGACUUGCAGUCAGAUUUUUCCUUGCAAUAAUUAUGUAUUUUAUAUAUAUAAUUAAUCGGUUUGUAAACAGAAGUCUCAACUGAAGAUCACACUUGCUGAAUUCAUAUUCUUGCUUUGAUACACAGUUAAAACGAGGACCCUUAUAUAUGUUGUACUGAUUCAAAAUGCAUGCAUUUAUUUCUGAAGUUUUUUUUCAGAAUCAAGAAUUAUAAAUUCAUUAUCCUGAGUAAUUAAAGAUUAUUAAAAAGAAAAGACUUCUACAGUGUGCUACACAAGUUUAUGUGAAUCAGCUUACCUAUCACAAGAAAUUAAUUCGGCCAGGCUAUAGCAAACAAACCUAUAGUCAUUGAUAAGUAAGAAAACACAAAUAAAUUAAAGCAACAAAACAUAACAUAAAACUGCAUUUAACUGCAUACAGUCUCUGUUCAUUGAUUCUCUCCAUAUUGACACUUACUUUCUAAUGAAAAUACCGAAUUCAGCUACUGAGGGCUGAAUCAUACAUUUUCUUGAUGGAAUAUCUUUCAGUAUAAAAUUCCAUCAUCACUGCAUUUCAGAAGGAGCCACUCAUGAGGCUGUAAUGAAAGUGGGGUUUUUCCCCUUAGUAAAGUCUGGCUUUUUCUGUU
ensembl:lncRNA